rnacentral:rRNA from 1 species
CACGUAGGGCGCAAGCGUUGUCCGGAAUUAUUGGGCGUAAAGAGCUCGUAGGCGGUUUGUCGCGUCUGCUGUGAAAACUGGAGGCUCAACCUCCGGCCUGCAGUGGGUACGGGCAGACUAGAGUGCGGUAGGGGAGACUGGAAUUCCUGGUGUAGCGGUGAAAUGCGCAGAUAUCAGGGAGGGAACACCCGGGUGGCGAAGGCGGGUCUCUGGGCCGAUACUGACGCUGGAGGAGCGGAAAAGCGUGGGGAGCGAACAGG